UACGAAGGGGGCUAGCGUUGCUCGGAGUUACUGGGCGUAAAGGGUGUGUAGGCGGUUUUCUAAGUUUGGUGUGAAAUCUCCCGGCUCAACCGGGAGGGUGCGCCGAAAACUGGGAGACUAGAGUGCGGGAUGGGAGAGUAGAAUUCCUGGUGUAGCGGUGAAAUGCGCAGAUAUCAGGAGGAACACCAGCGGCGAAGGCGGCGCUCUGGGCCGGAACUGACGCUGAGGAGCGAAAGCGUGGGUAGCAAACAGG
rnacentral:rRNA from 1 species